ACAUGCCUACAACAUAGAAUUAAUGUACUAGAUCCCAUUAGAACUACACAGUUAAGUGUGCUCAGGCUAGAGUAGUACUAAGAUGGGUGACCCCACGGGAAGCCAUAGCGUUUUACAUGCC
rfam:Picea glauca, whole genome shotgun sequence.